rnacentral:rRNA from 1 species
UACGUAGGUGACCAGCGUUGUCCGGAUUUACUGGGCGUAAAGAGCGCGCAGGCGGUCGUUCAAGUCGGGUGUGAAAGCCCCCGGCUCAACUGGGGAGGGUCAUUCGAUACUGAUCGACUUGAAGGCAGGAGAGGGAAGUGGAAUUCCCGGUGUAGCAGUGAAAUGCGUAGAUAUCGAGAGGAACACCAGUGGCGAAGGCGAGUCUCUGGACGACUCCUGACACUGAGGCACGAAAGCUAGGGGAGCAAACAGG